UGCCAGAUAAGAAAUUAAGCCAGUCAAACCCAGCCUUUCAUUAAGGCCAUGUCUACAUAGUAAUUGAUCUAUUGGGGAUCGAUUUAUCGCGUCUCAUCUAGACAUGAUAAAUCAAUCCCCGAAUUGACGCCCGCACUCCACCUCAGCAGAAGCAGUAAGCGGAGUUGACAGGGGAGCCGUGGCGGGCGAUUUGCAGCCGUGAGGACAGCUAGUUACAUGGGUGUGUGCUGUGGGGAAGAUAUCCACAAAGAAAAAGUUUUCAAGCAUGAAAUGGUGGUGCAAAAAAUGGGGAAACUACUGAAUCAUCAAAGACGAAUUGUAGAACGCAAUCGUCACUCCUUAGAAUAGAAAAUAAAAGAGAAGGAAAAGGAAAUGGAGGGAAAAAAACGUCUUUGCUUCCAGUCUGAUCAACAAUUGCAAAAAAUCCAGCAGCUGGAAGCAGAACUAAAAACAGCCAGAGACUUGCUGAAGGAGAGCCAGAAUUACGCUGAAGAGAUGAAAAAUAAGUAUUUAUCUCAGGAAAUAGAAUUGAAAGAGAAACAAGCUGAGAUUACCCAUCUGCAGAAGCUGUCUGCAGCUGAGUUGGCUUCUUUAAAAAAGGAAAUGAUUAAUAUCAAGGCUCAGCAAAAGAAAAUGAAAGAGCAACUUAAUAUCUCACUUCACGAAAAUGAGCAACUGAGCAAGCCUGGAAGCCUCUUUCAACCAGGGAAUGGGACCCAAAAUUUAGGUCACAAUGGAGUGGGAAUUGUGCCUGUCUGUUUAUCAGGUACCCAGCCGCCCCGGAGGAGGAAGAGGCUGGACUGGGGGGAGCUAAAGAGCUCUGAGCCUACCCCGCAAAGGGUCAAGCGCCGACCCGGAAGUAUAAAGGCGGGCCUUCCGAGCUCAGUGGGAGGUCAGCGACCAGAGCGAGCGGACGUCCUUCCGGGAGCUCGGCGCCAGGAGGCUUCUACCCUCCCCCGUGCUCGCUACCCCGAGGAGCUGCCGGAGCUCCCCUGGACCACCGUUCCGGAGGAGUUGCCGGACCUGCCACCCAGCCCCGUCCGAGACGAACCCAUGCACCUGGACCCGGUGGAGGAUGACCCCAGGAUCCAGGUGCUGAUGAGGUUGCCAUCUACGUACAUUCACUGACCCAGGACAAUGAGCCAGAGUAUGAGCCAGACGGACUCCCAGAGGUGGUCAAAAAAGCACCUUUGGACUUGUGUGGAGAAAGCGCUACCUCAGUGACAGUUCCAAGGAGGACCCUUUGACUCAACCGUUGAUGGAGACGUUGGAAUCCGAACCCAAAACCCUUGUUAGGCACCCCGAUGAGUGUGACGGCCUCUCAUUGUUCACCUCCUUAGAGGUGGAAAGCGAUCAUGGCGUACCAAGCUGCCUGCUUUGUCUACUGAAGAGUAUCUCAGUGAAAGUUUUAAUCCUCUGCCAAAGGUUUGGGAUGGAAGCCUUAUUUCUUCUUCCGUAGUAGGAUGCUUUCCCAUACCAGACCGUGAUAACUUUGGCAGGCAUCAUUGCAGUACCCAGGCUAGCAACACGCGGGCAGCUUCAGAACGCCAGCAGCAGCUGUGCUCUCUAUACCGGGGUCGGCAACCUACGGCACGCAUGCAAAAGAGUGGAUUUCUUCAAUAUGAUAUAUUAUUUGCUUCCUUAUCACACACCAGAUCAUUGGGUUCUUGCGAUAGCAUUGAUGCAAACAAAAGAAUUAUUAACAAUUGACCCCUUGUGUGAUGAGAUGAGAUAUGAAAGAACAUGUCUAAGGAAUUGGAGUUUCAGAUACUUCAUCAAACGAUUAACGAGCAACUCCCCAUCUGAUUGGAAGAAUAAAAUUCUUCAGCAUAAUAAACAAAAAGUGAUGGCCACAACUGCGGACCACUCAUCUUAAAGUUUGCAGAAACGUAUUUGUGGCAGAAAGACAUCAAUUCAAUAGAAACAUCACAAGAGGCUAAUGCUGAGUUUAGAAGACAAGUAGCAAUUGUUCUAGUGAAAGAGUCAGAAAGCGUGGAGGACUACUGCAUAUACUGCAACCUUGUCAGUUGUGAAAAGGAAAGUGAGGAUUGCACGAUGGUCCAGUGUGAUUCUUGCAAGAGGUGGGUACAUAUGCCCUGCAUUCCAGAAGGAACAAAUCAUGAAAUCCUCACUGAUGAGGAAAAAGAAUACGAGUGCAAAAAAAAGAACUGAACUAUGUACUAUCAGAAAAAUGACAUCUGUAAAUAGUUGUUGUUAAAAAUGGCUUUGAACAAAAAGCUAACCUUUUAUUUAUAUACCGGAUUACAAUAAAGUUUUUAAAAUUGGAAAAACA